AUUUCCUCUCAAGUUUGAGAAUGACUGUGAAUCCAGGAAUAAACUGUCAAAGAAGGGAGGGAAGGGUGACAGGAGAAAUUGGUCACUGCUACCUAGCUUUGGAUGCGGCGGAAACAGGUGGGGCGGAAAGAAGGCUGCACUCUAGGUGGUGAGGGUGCCCCCUGGAGAAUGCACCUCUCUGCUCAUUGCCACCUGUUCUCAUGCUUGAAUGGACUGAAGUCAAGCACUGGCUAUGAGAACUAUUAUGUAAAACCACCCCACAGCUACAGCAUCACCGUGGGUACAAUGGGACCCUAGCUUACGUUUUCCAUAAUAUUCAAAACCAGACGAGUAACUUGAGGUUCCGUUUUAUGAAUGAAGAAAUGCCCUUCCUCAAGAAGCUGAGAGAAAGCAGGUAAAUGGUGACCAUUUCAGAUUUCUGAAGAUUUUUUUUUCAAUGAGUGGAAAUAAACCCUUUGGUGAGUCAAAAUAUAUUCUUUUCAUGCUGGGGAUUUUGCUCAAAUUUUCUUUAUCCUGGUUUGGGGACUGUUAUUCAGAAUAUGUAGAUGAGAUUAUAUGUGAGAAUAUAUGGAAAACCCAUACUUGGUCAGCGUGAUUUCCUACCACGGGUUGAUAGUUCUUUAAUGAUUAUUUCUGUAGGUUCUAUGACAACGUCGUCUUUCUAGCACAAAUACAAAUACAUACAAAAUAGAAAAAGAAGGGAAAAUUUCAUCAGUCAAUGUUUUAACUGCAGACAAGUUUGAGAUCAAGCCUCAAAGAAUCCAGCUCAUCUCUUGAUAAACCGGGUAUCUUACGCGGGAGGACCCCUGACACGCCUAGCAUUGGGUGAAGUUCAAACCUCUGUAUCACUUGAGUCAAGAGUCGAGUCGAUCAGAGGGAGGAGCUUCUUUGGCUUAGAAGGAUCUUCCCAGAACUACAGAGAUGUGAGUACCCCCAGCACAGGGCAGCAUUGCAUGGGAAAGCCCAGCAACCUCAAAGGACCUAAAGGAGACUCUGAUGAGGAGUGGCAACAACCCAGUGGGAGCACUCUGGCUUUGCACUGGCUGAAGAGUGAAUCUCUACACUUGUGGUAAGCGGGCUCCUGGGGAGAACUCACGCCCGCUAAGUUCAAGUGUCAUCUUGGCAGAAAGGAGAA
rnacentral:lncRNA from 1 species